CAGCAGCCACGGGAAUACGUAGGUGGCAAGCGUUGUCCGGAAUUAUUGGGCGUAAAGCGCGCGCAGGCGGCCUCUUAAGUCUGAUGUGAAAGCCCCCGGCUCAACCGGGGAGGGCCAUUGGAAACUGGGAGGCUUGAGUAUAGGAGAGAAGAGUGGAAUUCCACGUGUAGCGGCGAAAUGCGUAGAGAUGUGGAGGAACACCAGUGGCGAAGGCGACUCUUUGGCCUAUAACUGACGCUGAAGCGCGAAAGCGUGGGGAGCAAACAGGAUUAGAUACCCCUGUAGUCCCUGUCUCUUAUAC
rnacentral:rRNA from 1 species